UACGCCAAUCAAGUAUUAUCCUCGAUUUUCAUAAGCACCAAGCGGCAUUAUCCUCGAUUUUCAUCCUGGUAUUAACUUUAAUACGCCGAUUUUGGCGUAUUAAGAUAAUCCGAGAUUUUUUAAAUGUACGCAGCCAAAACCGUACUUGCUCUCACGCACACCUGCAAAGGUAAAUAACGACAGCUGCAUGUUUACUUUUUGCGCUCUGCUUCGAAUCCAAGUUUUUCGUUCUGAUGCAAAAGUUUUAAAAUAAAAAGUAUUUUGUCGAUCCCUAAAAUAACGCUUUGUUUUGCAACGACGCUCCGAUGGAACAACUGAAGAUGUUGGAAGCAGGUUGGAAGUAGUGCUGUUGCCAACGAUCACGUUAGUUUUUGAUUCGCUAUUCGUCGGAUCGCUAAACCAUUUUAUUAAAACUUUGUGGUCUCUAGAACCGAUAUUGAACGACGUGGCGCACCGGCGCUAAGUGCUCGAGAUCAGGCGAAAAAAUUGGUUCCGGAUAAAAAGAUACCAUCGUUAUCAAUCUUAUCCUUUAUCGAUAAAAUCGGAUGGGAAAGGUGUGUCUAAUUAUGCAUCUAUUUCAAUCAAAAUUCAGGUGGCAUUAGUGGCUGGUUGUGUGCUAAUUAAUAAGAGAGUUCACAAAGUGGUCCAGGAGAUCCUUUCUUUUCAAAGAUGGGCCGGAUAUGUAUUCAAUCAUCAAAAAGUAACAACAGAACAACCUGACAAAGCCAUAUAACAAUGAUAAUAAUGUAAAUGUUCCAGAACAUGAUUUUUAAAAAUAAAUUCAAAUACAAACGAAA